rnacentral:lncRNA from 1 species
CUUACAUUAGGUCAUCUAAGACUCAGGUUUGACUGAAUUUGGACAAUGUUAACUCAUUUGACUUGUGUUGAACUUCUUCUAGAAGAAAAAAGUCAAGGAAUACUUUUUCUCAGCCUUCUGAUCUGGCUUCUGAGACCACUUCUCUCUGACUGGUGAGACUAUACUGGAAGCCUCUUCCCUCUGUGCUGGAAGGCAGCUGCUCUCAGCUUGGUGUUAUGUCUACCUCAACAGCGAGAAAGAAAAGCUCAGUUCCUAGUUUCUCAUAACUUGCAUGCAGGUUCCUCUGCAUACACUCUUUGCUUUCUCAACAGAAAGCAAAAGGAAAACAAAAACUGAGGACUGAAAAUGGAAGAAAACAAAGCAGAUCUUGGUGCUUGUGGUUAUUUUCAUUGGGAAAAAUACCACCACAAUAUCUUUCCAAACCCCAAAUAAACAUUAUUAUUAUUUAUUGCAAUAACCACCCCUUUUUCACAAGUGCUGCUCUGGAAAGGUGUGCCUUUCCUGGAAUUGUGCUGGAAGUCACGCACUGCAAAAUCUUAGCUCUUUCUUUGGGACAAGAAAAGAAAAUAUCGAAAUGACAGCACACAAGGGUGUUUUCUGGGUAGUGCAAACUUCUCAGUAGGCAGCCACAUAUAUUAAAGCAGAACUACUAUAAAUGUCUUGUCCAUUUAUUCUGAUUACUCUAACAGAGAGCAUUUGCUGGAUUACACCGCCUUCUCUGACAGAAGAGAAACUGCAGUAAAGAAAUUCUUCGGUCUGUGUCCAAGGUUCAGGCAAUCUGUAAGAAAGAAUGAAAAUGAUACAGAAAAAUGAGUAUCUCAUUUCAGCAAGGUCUGAAUAGUUAUCUACAACAUUUUGGGUGAUUUGGCAUGUUUCCUGGCUUUUUCUUUCUUUCUUUCUUUAUAUAUUUAUUUAGCAAUCAUUUUCAUUAGAAGAGGUGUUUCUAUGAAAAUGAAAGCUGAGGUUAUUCAUGCCUCCCACUUUUUUUCUCUGCUCUAUCUGAAGCUGUAGGCCUAUUUUCCUUCUUUCUGACUCCAGAAUAAAUCACAUAUAGGUCCAUUGGAGGUCCA